rnacentral:rRNA from 1 species
CCUACGGGAGGCAGCAGUGGGGAAUAUUGCACAAUGGGGGAAACCCUGAUGCAGCAACGCCGCGUGAGCGAUGAAGGCCUUCGGGUCGUAAAGCUCUUUUACCCGGGAUGAUAAUGACGGUACCUUAGGAGGAAGCCCCGGCUAACUACGUGCCAGCAGCCGCGGUAAUACGUAGGGGGCGAGCGUUAUCCGGAAUCACUGGGCGUAAAGGGUGCGUAGGCGGCCGAUUAAGCCGGGGGUGAAAGGCUACGGCUCAACCGUAGUAAGCCCUUGGAACUGAUUGGCUUGAGUGCAGGAGAGGAGAGUGGAAUUCCUAGUGUAGCGGUGAAAUGCGUAGAUAUUAGGAGGAACACCAGUGGCGAAGGCGACUCUCUGGACUGUAACUGACGCUGAGGCACGAAAGCGUGGGGAGCAAACAGGAUUAGAUACCCCUGUAGUC